rnacentral:rRNA from 1 species
AUGGCGGGCAAGAUGCCCAACGUCCUAUGGCUCGAGGGCUCCUUUGUGGAGACCCUGAAGGGGUGGCAAUCGGGGUGGUUUUACAUCACUGAGCCGCGCGAUCCCAAAUGGAUCGCAGCCCUCGAGUUCCGGUCCGGACCCCCCACGAGGCUCACGUCCUGGAAAGAGACGGGCCUGUCAUGGGGCUACAAAGAAGAGGUGACUGGACUGCAAACAUGCAUCCAAACCCUGGUGAACAAGCAGCUCAAGCUUGUCAAUGUAGUCCAGGUUAUGCUCAUCCGCCGGAUCCUCCCGUGUCAACAACGGGCCUUCAAUCUGUGGGAGUUUGACCCGGCGCAGCACCGAACUUUGAGCAGGCUCUUCAACACGACGUACGAAGAUGUCUGGAAGGUGCUAUUCAAGGGCACCGAGGCUCCCGCAUCCGCUUCCGAGGAUCGCGGAUUCAGCACGCAGCUUCACGCUAGUGCGGAUUGGCAGGUGAAGUCCGGACAGAUCAACUGUCCGGCUCCUUUGCCCGAAGACCCAGCCAGUGCUCGCUUGGAGAAGCUGCUGGUUCCGGCACCCUAUGUGGUGCCGGAGAAGAAGGCCAAGAAGAAGGCCACAGGGACUCGAAAGAGUGCCCGGUGCCUGAAGGUGUCGGAUUCAUCAUUCGACGAAUCCGAGACACGCUCCUCCCAUGAAGACGAGGAGGAGAAAGAAGAAACCUCUCCCCCUUCAGCGGGGGGAGGAAAGGAAAGGAAGGUUGUCCCGACCGGGGAGGCCGAAGGGUCCAAGAAGGGGAAGACCCUUCCUCCGGACUACUCCACCGACGCCAACGACGGCGAAGAGGAGUGGCCGCACAGGGGCCAAGCGCCCGGCGAAACCUCCGCCCAAGGCCGGGCUCGACGAGUCGUCGAGCGGCUCCCUGGAUUCGUCAGAUGUGAAUUCACUUCCGACGGCUACCUCCCCCCGCCCUACGGACGACGCCGAAGUGUUGUCCCAACAGGUUCCAAGUCAGGAGGAGGUGGUCCUGGAGGCGCCGCAAGACGACUUUCCAGACUCCAGGAGUAA